GGCAAGGUGGCCGAGUGGUCCAAGGCGCCACGUUAAGGUGAUCCGUGGUCUCGUUCAGGGGCGUGAGUUCGAAUCUCACCCUUGUCA